rnacentral:misc_RNA from 1 species
AUAUCGGGCUGGAACUGAUGGGUCAUCAGAAAGGUGAAUAUCAGUACCUGAACCCGAACGACCACGUGAAUAAAUGUCAAUCCACUAACGACGCCUAUCCGACAGGCUUCCGUGUAGCGGUUUACGCCUCUAUCGUCAAACUGAUCGAUGCCAUCAACCAGUUGCGUGAAGGUUUCGAACGUAAAGCGGUUGAAUUCCAGGACAUCCUGAAAAUGGGUCGUACCCAGUUGCAGGACGCCGUACCGAUGACGCUUGGUCAAGAAUUCCGUGCAUUCAGCAUCCUGCUGAAAGAAGAAGUGAAAAGCAUCGAGCGUACUGCUGAGCUGCUUCUGGAAGUCAACCUUGGCGCAACGGCAAUCGGUACUGGUCUGAACACGCCGAAAGAAUACUCUCCGCUGGCGGUGAAAAAACUGGCUGAAGUCACUGGUUUCGCCUGUGUUC